CAUAUCCAUCUGGAUCUGGACCUGGGACUCCUGCAUCUGGUUUUGGAGCUCACGGAUCUCCUGUACACAGAAACCAGAAAUGAUAAGAACAUUCACCUUCCUAGCCUUUCACUUGCAUUACACUGCCCCCUCCCUGCCAGAGCACAGCUGACAAACCUACAUGCAUGCGCACAUGCAAGCAUGUGUCACGCUAACAUUUCACCUCCAAAUGUCAGACAACAAGGAGGAAGUCUGAAAUGGUCUAACCUUUGGAGAUCUGGCACAUGCGUCUUAAUUAUAAGUAUGACUAUAUGUGCAUGUGUUACGAAAUAUGUCUUUGUAUAUACAUAUAUUUAGCACAAAGUGUGUGUGGAUAAGGAAUUUAUUGUAAUAGAAAAAAAAAUAUCAGAGGUUUUCAUGGUUUGCCGAUUUAGCAAGGAGCAGCUGUUAGCGAAUGAGUGGAUGAUAAAUGUGCGGAGUGACAGAAUGAUGGAAUAAAUGUUGUGAAAAGCA